rnacentral:rRNA from 1 species
UAAGUCAGAUGUGAAAUCCCCGGGCUCAACCUGGGAAUGGCAUUUGAGACUGCGAGGCUAGAGUGUGUCAGAGGGGGGUAGAAUUCCACGUGUAGCAGUGAAAUGCGUAGAUAUGUGGAGGAAUACCGAUGGCGAAGGCAGCCCCCUGGGAUAACACUGACGCUCAUGCACGAAAGCGUGGGGAGCAAACAGGAUUAGAUACCCUGGUAGUCCACGCCCUAAACGAUGUCUACUA